ensembl:ncRNA F57B7.8 ncRNA
UCUCCAUUAUGGUGUGAAGUGUCUAUGAACAACAUGGAGACAUACACAGCCGAGUGCGCAGGAUGAAAUUCCGCGUCGGCUCGGUGCUCUUCCCCUCCUUAGCCGCCUUCCCUAUUCUGACAAUAAAUGUGAGCUCUUCUUUUUCUUCGCCCUCCCUACUUUUUCCUUUGCUACUUCCACAACGACGUCUGAAAAGACGAAGACGUCGAUGUCAUCCUUCGAAGAAAACGAACGGAACGAAGCAAUGGAGAGAAGCGGCGUAGAAGAAGAAGAAGUAUAGACAUUUUUUAAUGAAAAACAAGAUUUCAGCAUAGCCCGGGGCGCCAAAAAACGAAGAACGAAA